UUUUUUUUUUUUUUUUUUUUUUUGAGAUUGCAUCUCUCUGUGUAAUCCUAGCUGUCCUGGAGCUCACCUGCAGAUCAGGCAGACCUAAUAGUUUGGUGUAUGCUGGGCAAGCAUCUUACUAGUAGACUAUAUUCCUUGCCCUUUUCAAAAACAAAAAACAAAAAAACCAAAAAACCAAAAACACAAGUUCUCACUAGGUUGUCUAGGUUGUCCUCCAACUUGUAGUCUUCCUACCUCAGCCUUCCAGAUUUACAGUUAUGAGCCACAUUGCUUGGCUAGAUGUGUGUGCUAAUACCCUUUGUAAAAGACUCCCUUAUUGGGGGCUUUGUUAUUGUUGAUGUUAAUGCUGUUGAUUCUUGAAAACAAGAAAAGAUUAUUGACACAGAAGUGGACAGACCUGACUAGGCAGAAGAAACUGUACUCUGUGACCGCAGGAAUUCUUUGUAGUUGGCUUGCAGAACUUGUGACUUCUCUGAGCAUUCUGUAAAUAAUUUACACCCUGAUGGCACUGCACAACCACAGUAAUGGCACCUCUGGCUCCGGAUGAUAUAAGCACUUUAAUAAUUCAUUGCUUAUUGCAGCUGCUUCCCUGUAGCAUGAGUGGGAGGGGAGGGCCUUUACAUAUUAGUCAUACAUUAUUACUCAUAUUUGUAGUGUUAGAAAAUGCAGGAAAGGCUAUUGAUUGCUAAAUACAUUUUGGGGAUAGUUGAAGGGAAUAGUUGGGGCUUUCAUUCUAAUAAUGGCAGUGCCUGUGAUGCCUUACUAAACCCUAAGUCUUCUUGGUUGAUGAUGAUGAUGAAUAUGCAUAUCUAUUUUGCAUAUGUGUGCGCAUACAUGUCUGUGCAGAUGUGGGUGCACAUGUGUGCACAUGGGUGAAGGAGGUUCAAGGUUGGUGUUGGGAGUAUUCCUUUGAGCAGGGUUCCCUCAGUUGAACCCAGAGCUCGCUGAAUUUGUUAGUCUACCUUUCCAGGUUGGUCUUGAGAUCUUGUCGCUGAUUGUAAGUGCUUGAAUUACAAGUGGGCUUUGAGGACCAUGUGGCAUUUAUGUGGGUAUAAGGGAUCCAAACUCUGGUCUUUAUGAUUGCAUGACAAGCACCUUUUAUCUCCUCAGGUUGUUGGUAGUUAACUCUUGAUUGCACUCCUUCCUAAGAGUUCUCCCAUGGGUACCCCUUAGUGUUAAUAUAGAGAGGCCUUAACCAAUUAAUUUCUUUUUUUUCUUCUGCUUUUUCUAGAUGUGUUUUCUCUGUGUACCACCUUCUGUCCUGGAACUUGCCUUGAACUCAAGAGAUCUGCUCUCUGCCUCUGGCAUGCACCUCCACUGCCCUGACCAAACAAUUUCUUUUAAAUAAGAUACUUUAAAUGAUAGUUUUAUAUCAGUACUUUCACUUAAAAAAAAACAAUAACAAUGCUUAGUUUUGUCCCCAUGUAAAUUAAGCUCUUUAAACGAAAGUGGCUAAGAUACUGAUGGACAGGCAUGAAUCUCACUGCAAGCAAAUUGUUUAGUUGUGUCAUCCAAAUCUUCGUGCACUUGCCAACUGCCUGUGGCAGCACAGGGAGACAGGUUGAUCUGUAGUGUUUCUCUAGUGUGCCCCUAUCGCUAGCCAUAUUGUAACAUGCAGUAGGUCUCUUGGGGAGACAGCUUAGGUGGGCUAGGUUCUACUUGAGCAUUGUAAAGAUGACAGGAAUCAUCCAGGUGAAUUUUUAAAAAGAUUGUUUAAAAAUUUAAACUCAUGAUGAACUUUAGUGAAAGUUCUAAUAAACUGCUUGCUAGAGAUGGGAUGAAAUUUUAAAUGAACUUUUAGUUUUAUGUAUCUUUGGAUUAGCAAGUUAUUAGCUUUUCGCUUGUUUUACGUAUAAGCACAGUGAGGAAUAUUUGCCUUGCAGGUAUGUGCUCAUUCAUCUGGUAGUACAUAGAAGACUUCAACUUAAUAAAUAUUAAACCAGAGCUGUCACAAUCAUCAACAUAAUUUGAAGAUGUAUUACCUUCCCCAGAAGCUAGAUAGCUCUUUUUAGGAAGACCAGAUUCCUUGACUGGGUCUUGCUAUGAGCACAGGUUAGCCUUGCACUAUCCUCAGUGUUAGCGUUUGUGUAUUACCUCUGCAUACCCAGCUUAGUUCAAGUUGCAGAAACUCUCAUUUUGACUUGUGAAAUCUACCUUCACAUUUGUUUACAGCUGGCCGGUGUUGGUGGCACAUGCCUUUAAAAGGCAGGUGGAUCUCUGUAUUCAAGAUCAGUCUCGUCUACAGAGCUAGUUUCAGGACACCCAAGGCUCCAUAAAGAAACCUGGCCUC
ensembl:sense_intronic A530041M06Rik RIKEN cDNA A530041M06 gene